rnacentral:rRNA from 1 species
CCUACGGGUGGCUGCAGUGGGGAAUAUUGCACAAUGGGGGGAACCCUGAUGCAGCGACGCCGCGUGGGUGAAGGAGUACUUCGGUACGUAAAGCCCUAUCAGCAGGAAAGCAAAUGACGGUACCUGACUAAGAAGCCCCGGCUAACUACGUGCCAGCAGCGGCGGUAAUACGUCGGGGGCAAGCGUUAUCCGGAUUUACGGGGUGGAAAGGGGGAGUAGACGGGAGUGCAAGUCAGUAGGGAAAGCCCGGGGCUCAACCCUGGGACUGCGCUGGAAACUGAAAAGCUGGAGUGAGGGAGGGGCAGGCGGAAUGCCUGGUGUAGCGGUGAAAUGCGUAGAUAUCAGGAGGAACACCGGCGGCGAAGGCGGCCUGCUGGACCGUAACUGACGUUGAGGCUCGAAAGCGUGGGGAGCAAACAGGAUUAGAUACCCCGGUAGUC